rnacentral:rRNA from 1 species
UACGAAGGGGGCUAGCGUUGCUCGGAAUUACUGGGCGUAAAGCGCACGUAGGCGGCUUUGCAAGUUAGAGGUGAAAGCCCGGGGCUCAACUCCGGAAUUGCCUUUAAAACUGCAUCGCUAGAAUUGUGGAGAGGUAAGUGGAAUUCCGAGUGUAGAGGUGAAAUUCGUAGAUAUUCGGAAGAACACCAGUGGCGAAGGCGACUUACUGGACACAUAUUGACGCUGAGGUGCGAAAGCGAGGGGAGCAAACAGG